rnacentral:rRNA from 1 species
UACGUAGGGUGCGAGCGUUGUCCGGAAUUAUUGGGCGUAAAGAGCUCGUAGGCGGUCUGUCGCGUCGAUCGUGAAAACUCUGGGCUUAACCCAGAGCCUGCAUUCAAUACUGGCAGGCUGGAGUUCUGGAGGGGAUAGCGGAAUUCCUGGUGUAGCGGUGAAAUGCGUAGAUAUCGGGAGGAACACCGGCGGCGAAGGCGGCCCUCUGGACGGUGACUGACGCUGAGACGCGAAAGCGUGGGGAGCGAACAGG